GCCAGAAUGGCAUAGUGGUUUGAGUGUUGGAGUACGACUCUGGAGACCAGGAUUCGAUUCCCAGCUUGGCCA
rnacentral:tRNA from 1 species